GACGAACGCUGGCGGCGUGCUUAACACAUGCAAGUCGAACGGAAAGGCCCUUCGGGGUACUCGAGUGGCGAACGGGUGAGUAACACGUGGGUGAUCUGCCCUGCACUUCGGGAUAAGCCUGGGAAACUGGGUCUAAUACCGGAUAGGACUACGGCCUGCAUGGGUUGUGGUGGAAAGCUUUUGCGGUGUGGGAUGGGCCCGCGGCCUAUCAGCUUGUUGGUGGGGUGAUGGCCUACCAAGGCGACGACGGGUAGCCGGCCUGAGAGGGUGACCGGCCACACUGGGACUGGGAGACGGCCCAGACUCCUACGGGAGGCAGCAGUGGGGAAUAUUGCACAAUGGGCGCAAGCCUGAUGCAGCGACGCCGCGUGGGGGAUGACGGCCUUCGGGUUGUAAACCUCUUUCAGUACCGACGAAGCGCAAGUGACGGUAGGUACAGAAGAAGGACCGGCCAACUACGUGCCAGCAGCCGCAGUAAGAC
rnacentral:rRNA from 1 species